rnacentral:rRNA from 1 species
UAGGGAAUCUUCCGCAAUGGCCGCAAGUCUGACGGAGCAACGCCGCGUGAGUGAAGAAGGAUUUCGGUUCGUAAAACUCUGUUGUUAGAGAAGAACAGCGCAUAGAGUAACUGUUAUGCGUGUGACGGUAUCUAACAAGAAAGCCACGGCUAACUAAGUGGCAGCAGUCGCGGUAAUACGUAGGUGGCAAGCGUUGUCCGGAUUUAUUGGGCGUAAAGCGAGCGCAGGCGGUCAAAUAAGUCUGAUGUGAAAGCCCCCGUCUCAACCGGGGAGGGUGAUUGGAAACUGGUUGACUUGAAUGCAGAAGAGGAGAGUAGAAAUCCAUGUGGAGCGGAGAAAUGCAUAGAUAUCUGGAGGAACACCAGUGGCGAAGGCGACUCUCUGGUCUGUAACUGACGCUGAGGUUCGAAAGCGUGGGUAGCAAACAGG